GCGAAAACUUUACAAUGCUGGCAACAGCGAUAAGGGAACUUCGAGUGCCAGGUUACAAAUCUGGCUGUCGAGAUGCCUAAAAAGCAUUUCAUAGCAAGGGCCGGGCAAGACCGGUGCCAGCCGCCGCGGUAACACCGGCGGCUCGAGUGGUAACCGUUAUUAUUGGGUCUAAAGGGUCUGUAGCCGGCCGGAUAAGUCUCUUGAGAAAUCUGGCAGCUUAACUGUCAGGCUUUCAGGAGAUACUGUCUGGCUCGAGGCCGGGAGAGGUGAGAGGUACUUCAGGGGUAGGGGUGAAAUCUUGUAAUCCUUGAAGGACCACCAGUGGCGAAGGCGUCUCACCAGAACGGACCUGACGGCAAGGGACGAAAGCUAGGGGGCACGAACC
rnacentral:rRNA from 1 species